CCCGGAGUGAUUUUGCGGGGGCCAUGAUCAUA
rnacentral:scRNA from 1 species